rnacentral:rRNA from 1 species
GACGAACGCUGGCGGCGUGCUUAACACAUGCAAGUCGAACGCAAAGGCCCUGCUUUUGUGGGGUGCUCGAGUUGCGAACGGGUGAGUAACACGUGAGUAACCUGCCCUUGACUUUGGGAUAACUUCAGGAAACUGGAGCUAAUACCGCAUAGCAGCUCCUGCUGCAUGAUAGGGGUUGGAAAGUUUCGGCGGUUGGGGUUGGACUCGCGGCUUCUCUGUUUGUUGGUGUGGUAGUGGCUUACCAUGGCUUUGACGGGUAGCCGUCCUGAGAGGGUGACCGGCCACAUUGGGACUGAGGUACGGCCCAGACUGCAACGGGAGGCAGCAGUGGAAAAUAUUGCACAAUGGGCGGAAGGCUGAUGCAGGAACGCCGCGUGCGGGAUGACGGCCGUCGGGGUGUAAACAGCUUUCGACUGUGACGAAGAGUGAGUGACGGUAAUGGAUAAGGAAGCAACGGCUAACUACGUG